UACGUAGGUGACAAGCGUUGUCCGGAUUUACUGGGCGUAAAGAGCGCGCAGGCGGUCGUUCAAGUCGAGUGUGAAAGCCCCCGGCUCAACUGGGGAGGGUCAUUCGAUACUGAUCGACUCGAAGGCAGGAGAGGGAAGUGGAAUUCCCGGUGUAGUGGUGAAAUGCGUAGAUAUCGGGAGGAACGCCAGCGGCGAAGGCGACUUCCUGGCCUGUUCUUGACGCUGAGGCGCGAAAGCUAGGGGAGCAAACGGG
rnacentral:rRNA from 1 species